rnacentral:rRNA from 1 species
GACGAACGCUGGCGGCGUGCUUAACACAUGCAAGUCGAACGAAGUGGCGAACGGGUGAGUAACGCGUAAUCAACCUGCCAUUCAGAGGGGGAAAACAGUUGGAAACGACUGCUACUACCGCAUACUGAAGGCGGGGAUUGCGGCGUAUUAGCUAGUUGGAGGGUUAACGGCCAACAAAGGGGAUGACCAGUAGCCGGUCUGAUAGGAUGAACGGCCACAUUGGGACUGAGACACGGCCCAGACUCCUACGGGAGGCAGCAGUGGGGAAUCUUCCGCAAUGGACGAAAGUCUGACGGAGCAACGCCGAGUGAGUGAUGACGGCCUUCGGGUUGUAAAGCUCUGUUAAUCGGGACGCGGUACCGGAAUAGAAAGCCACGGCUAACUACGUGCCAGCAGCCGCGGUAAUUC